AAAGAAAUAAGUAUGCUUCAGAGUUACCUUGAAGGCACUCACGAGGACUCAGUCUUGGACUUGGUUUUAUCAUCUCUUCCAGAAGAAGCAAAAUCCAAAGGAACCGAUACAACGCUGCAGCUAAACCAGAAGGUGCACUUAUUAUUAUUCACAGAUCACAACCGAUGUUAUAUAUAAGGCAGUUCAACUUAUUUAUUACUCACUUCUCUUUAUUAUUUUCAGUUUGAUACUUUGAAAGGAACACUUAGACACUUCAGUCUCAUUCCACCUGGUGGCGGAGGAAUCUUAGCACAUUCACUAGCACAUAUAGCA
rnacentral:lncRNA from 1 species